rnacentral:rRNA from 1 species
ACGAACGCUGGCGGCGUGCCUCAUACAUGCAAGUAGAACGCUGAAGGAGGAGCUUGCUUCUCUGGAUGAGUUGCGAACGGGUGAGUAACGCGUAGGUAACCUGCCUGGUAGCGGGGGAUAACUAUUGGAAACGAUAGCUAAUACCGCAUAAGAGUAGAUGUUGCAUGACAUUUGCUUAAAAGGUGCAAUUGCAUCACUACCAGAUGGACCUGCGUUGUAUUAGCUAGUUGGUGAGGUAACGGCUCACCAAGGCGACGAUACAUAGCCGACCUGAGAGGGUGAUCGGCCACACUGGGACUGAGACACGGCCCAGACUCCUACGGGAGGCAGCAGUAGGGAAUCUUCGGCAAUGGACGGAAGUCUGACCGAGCAACGCCGCGUGAGUGAAGAAGGUUUUCGGAUCGUAAAGCUCUGUUGUAAGAGAAGAACGAGUGUGAGAGUGGAAAGUUCACACUGUGACGGUAUCUUACCAGAAAGGGACGGCUAACUACGUG